AUCGUUCAUCUCACUUAAUGGAGACGGAAGUAGGUAACGGGAGAAUUACUAAAGGAACGCAAC
ncrna:unclassified sequences Glutamine riboswitch